GAUGAACGCUGGCGGCGUGCCUAAUACAUGCAAGUCGAGCGAACAGACGAGGAGCUUGCUCCUCUGACGUUAGCGGCGGACGGGUGAGUAACACGUGGAUAACCUACCUAUAAGACUGGGAUAACUUCGGGAAACCGGAGCUAAUACCGGAUAAUAUAUUGAACCGCAUGGUUCAAUAGUGAAAGACGGUUUUGCUGUCACUUAUAGAUGGAUCCGCGCCGCAUUAGCUAGUUGGUAAGGUUACGGGUUACCAAGGCAACGAUGCGUAGCCGAACUGAGAGGGUGAUCGGCCACACUGGAACUGGGACAGGGUCCAGACUACUACGGGAGGCAGCAGUAGGGAAUCUUCCGCAAUGGGCGAAAGCCUGACGGAGCAAGGCCGCGUGAGUGAUGAAGGUCUUCGGAUCGUAAAACUCUGUUAUUAGGGAAGAACAAAUGUGUAAGUAACUAUGGACGUCUUGACGGUACCUAAUCAGAAAGCCACGGCUAACUACGUG
rnacentral:rRNA from 1 species